UACGUAGGGUGCAAGCGUUGUCCGGAAUUAUUGGGCGUAAAGGGCUCGUAGGCGGUCCAUCGCGUCGGGAGUGAAAAGCUGGGGCUUAACCCCAGUCCUGCUUCCGAUACGGGUGGACUAGAGGUAGGUAGGGGAGAUCGGAAUUCCUGGUGUAGCGGUGAAAUGCGCAGAUAUCAGGAGGAACACCAGUGGCGAAGGCAGGACUCUCGGCGGUAC
rnacentral:rRNA from 1 species